GGGCAGCUGGGGGCUCCGCUGAAAUUCCCAGAGUCUCAGCCGAUGAACUCUCACGACUGGCAGAAGAAGUUCAAAAAGUGGUGCUAUUGUGGCUCGGAAACCAAGGCCAUCACACGGCGCCCACUCCGCAAAGCCUAUUUAAAUCUCCAGUGUUCCUUUGGGUUUCGGAAGUCCGUUUCCGCGAGGAACUGCACUGCGCAUGCGCCCCGCUGCUAGCACGGAAAUGUGUACGCAUGAGCAAAGCUCAUGAGGUCACUAGAAAUGGGAACUGGUUUCUCGCACAGGCCGUGCGGGCGGCGCCGUGGCUUAGUUGGUUAAAGCGCCUGUCUAGUAAACAGGAGAUCCUGGGUUCGAAUCCCAGCGGUGCCUGAGUGCUACCUUUUCUUCUUUUUUGCACGACCCUUUUUGUUUUGCGAGCCCUCUCACAGAACCGUUCCUCUGUCAGCGCGGAAGACAUUUUAGCGGAAGACGUUGUGUUCCCUGCUAGCCUUUGCCUCCUUGAGGUCGGCCAAAUCGCUGUCCCCUGAGUGCUUCCACAGGGGUGACAAGUCUCCACAGCCUCUUGGCUUCGCUGAGCAUUGCUCUUGGCUUCGCUGAGCACUGCAAAGCAUGCUGAUUUUUCCUCCCGGAAUCCGCGCAGUGGGUAGCAACAAUCUGCAUACUGAGAACAGCUUGGCGAGGCUGAGUAAAGUCCCAAAAUGGAGUUU
rnacentral:lncRNA from 1 species